rnacentral:rRNA from 1 species
GACGAACGCUGGCGGCGUGCUUAACACAUGCAAGUCGAGCGGAAAGGCCUGCUUUCCCUUGUGGAUUGCGGGUACUCGGGUGGCGAACGGGUGAGUAACACGUGAGUGAUCUGCCCCCAACUUGGGUAUAAGCCUGGGAAACUGGGUCUAAUUCCCGAUAGGACUGCAGGGUGGUGCCUGUGGUGGAAAACGAUUUUCUAGUGGUUGGGGAUGAGCUCGCGGCCUAUCAGCUUGUUGGUGGGGUAAUGGCCUACCAAGGCGGCGACGGGUAGCCGGCCUGAGAGGGUGGACGGCCACAUUGGGACUGAGAUACGGCCCAGACUCCUACGGGAGGCAGCAGUGGGGAAUAUUGCACAAUGGGCGGAAGCCUGAUGCAGCGACGCCGCGUGGGGGAUGACGGCCUUCGGGUUGUAAACUCCUUUCGACCGCGAGGAAGCCACCUGGUUGGAAGGGUGGUGACGGUAGUGGUAGAAGAAGCACCGGCUAACUACGUG